CCGUAGGUGAACCUGCGGAAGGAUCAUUAAAUAAUCAAUAAUCUUGGCUUGUCCAUUAUUAUCUAUUUACUGUGAACUGUAUUAUUAUUUGACGUUUGAGGGAUGUUCCAAUGUUAUAAGGAUAGACAUUGGAGAUGUUAACCGAGUCAUAAUCAGGUUUAGGCCUGGUAUCCUAUUAUUAUUUACCAAAUGAAUUCAGAAUUAAUAUUGUAACAUAGACCUAAAAAAUCUAUAAAACAACUUUUAACAACGGAUCUCUUGGUUCUCGCAUCGAUGAAGAACGUAGCAAAGUGCGAUAACUAGUGUGAAUUGCAUAUUCAGUGAAUCAUCGAGUCUUUGAACGCAACUUGCGCUCAUUGGUAUUCCAAUGAGCACGCCUGUUUCAGUAUCAAAACAAACCCUCUAUCCAACUUUUGUUGUAUAGGAUUAUUGGGGGCCUCUCGAUCUGUAUAGAUCUUGAAACCCUUGAAAUUUACUAAGGCCUGAACUUGUUUAAUGCCUGAACUUUUUUUUAAUAUAAAGGAAAGCUCUUGUAAUUGACUUUGAUGGGGCCUCCCAAAUAA
rnacentral:rRNA from 1 species